UCAAUACUGUGUGUGUGUAUAUAUAUAUAUAUAUAUAUAUAUGAAUUAGGCUGGAAUACUAUUAAUAGUAAAACGUUCUUUUUGCUAUCAAGUUUUUAACCCUUGGAUGAAAAAUUGUAGGGUCAGGAUGAUGUUAGUCGGUUAGAGUUGAGUGGUCCCACUAGGGUUGAGUGGUCCCCACUGGGUUAUAGUAUUUAAUCCAAUAGUUAGAAAUAAUGAAAAGAGUUGAUCCAAAGGCUAAAAAACUGGUAGCAACAAUGAAAUUUUGCUACUAAUAGUAGCCCAGUUCAAUUCUAUAUAUAUUAUACUAAUGGAUAAAAUAUAUUAAUUGUUCCCAACCA
rnacentral:lncRNA from 1 species